GAAAAUAUAAUAAAAUGUUUAUUUAUUUAUUUUAAUGUGUAAAAUAACCCGUAAAAACCAAAAAAACUAGAUGAACCAAUAAAUUUAUACUAUAUUAGUGAACUUAUAUAUAAAAUGUAUAAUAUUAUAUAGUGAAUGUAAAAUUGAAUUUACAAAUUUGAUAAACAUAUGAAUAAUGUUUUAGCAAAAAAAAACUUAAGAACAAUUAUUUGCUUUACCCAUUUACAUCAAUUUAUUUUUUUAAGGUCCAUGAUUUCACGAUAGAUAGUGCUCAUAACUUCUUUUUUUUUUCAUACAGUAGAGCAAACAUAUUAUUAUAUAUUAUUCCUACUUAGCUAUUUGAAUAAAAGAACACUCUGAUAUUUGAAAAUUUUGAACGAUUCCCUUUGUGCGGUAAACGGUUUUAUUUCAAUGUAUUAAUACACCAAUGCAAAAAUAUAUUUUGCAAGAUAAUACACGUAUCUGCACCAUAAGCUUUUUAUUACAUACUAGCAUGAAUUCUAUAAAAAACGUCUAUGCAGUAUUAUCAUUUAAUUUAAAUAUAUUGUUAAUUUAUAACGUAAGUUUACACAAUAUUAAUAACUUCUAAAUUGAUAGUAAAACCUAUCUAAUAAAUUCUAAACUUAUUUAAUAACGAUAGACCGUAUUCAAUUUAAAGAGUGGCAUGGAAGUUGAAGUAAGACUUUCAUCAAGAGAAAACUAUCACAUUUUAAUUAAAACAUACACAGACCAAGCUACUCACAUUAACAAAAUGUUGUUUUGGCUUAGAUAAUAUAAGCUUUUCCUUAACAUAUUUAUCUGUCAUGAUCAUUGCAUAAUUAUAUACAGAUAUCAUUAAUCUUAUUAUAUUAGAUUGUUCUUCAUAGAAUAAUGAAAGUUAAUGUCAUAUUAAUUCAGUCCAAAAAUAUUUAUUAAAAGUAACAACACGAUCUCCGAAUUUUAUUUAUUUAUUUUUGUUUAUAAUAUUCGUUUUCAAUCUACAAUUUUUUUUUUAAAAAAUGUUUCAUAAAAUUAAUGCAAAUUCAUAAAAAAAUGUUUUUUUUUCUAACUUACCUCCCGUUUGACGGGCCGACCCUAGUCUAUAAUAUAAUAGUACAGUUCACUCUUUACUGGAGAGACACCUCAGCAGGUAUGUGGGCCCUACCCAUUAUAUUUUUUUAAUUUUUUUCCUUCCUGAAAGUUGAGCUAUGGGUUUUGUAUGUGUUGGACCUAUACUAUUUUUUUUUUACCUGAAAGUCGCGAUAUGGGUUAUGUGUGUGUGUUGGGACUAUACACAUUUCUGUCAUGGGCUUCUCCGGCCUUUAACCGUCCGCAUGGCCGUCGGCUUAUGCUGAUUUGGGUUGCCGUCUUCUUCGGGAUCCUUCAUCUGAGGCUCUUCCUCUUCCCGCAUUCAUUUUUUUGUUGUCGAUCAUUAUGAACGAACCUACACACAAUCUCUGCCGACGUCACGAAUCAUCUUCCUGUAACGGACACUCCAGUCUCCUAUAUAUCUAUGUCGUCUAUGGUGCUCCCGUCGCUAACACCGCCGUCCCUAACGCCUCUGUCGCUAACGCCGCCGUCCACUUUCGGCUCCCUUCGCCUCGGCCGAGCUGCUCAGUCAGUUGUUGCUCGCCUCAUCCGAUUUUGGGAUUCCAGGAACAUCAACAAGAACAAUGAGUUUAUGGGGAUAACGAUUUUCCUUCUUGAUGAAUUGGACUCUGUGUUUCACUGCUUCAUACCCGCUAACCGGGCCAACCACUACCAGAACGAUUUGAAAAUUGGUUCUAUUAUCAGAUUGGACCGUUUUGAAGUUGCGUGUGUGGCUCACAUGUACAAGAUCACGGAGCAUCAGUUCGUGAUCCGUUUCUUACCUUCGACGCGUAUCAGUGAGGUUGAGACGGACGCUCCAAUCAUCAAGUUUGACAAAUUCAUGGUGAGACGUUACAAUCACCUCCAAGUGCUUGCGAACACCAACUAGAGCUACCAGAUGUAGUGUUGGAACUUGUCUCCAUAGGGGACCUCAACACCUUCAUCUCCAAUGAGCAGGUAUUUUGAGCUUCAGAGAUCGGUUGUGAUGAGGUGGCUGAUGCAGUUCUCUGGGUUUAGGGAAAGUCUUUUGGCUGAUGAUCUCUUCUUGGCUAAACUCGCCAUGGAAUGUGGUGUUGGUGUCUUCACUAAGACUGCUGCUGAGUAUGAAAGGCGUAGAGAAAACUUCUUCAAUGAACUUCAAGUUGUCUUUGCCAAUGUGUAUGCAGUCCACGCUGAUCCAGGGAUCAUUUAGCGUCCACCAGUUGAUCACUUUCCAACGCUUCCUCAGAGAGAGAGAGAGGUAUUUAUUAGCUGAGUUCAUUUGAUGGGACAAAGAGCAAUCAGUACUUCAAGCUGACUACUGCACCCGUCUCAAUUGAUUCAUUCAGCAUUUUAUAUAACCAUUAAUCCUAUGCCGAGGGAGGUUUUCCUGUUCCGGAGCUUUGAUGAAAUGAUCUUACUCGCUAACGCAAACAUCCUCUACCAGGUCUUUUUCUCAACCUUGCUUCCAUAGUAUAUGGAUUAUCGGUUACGAUUGUUUUGUUUGAUAUUGAAAAUGUUAUGACUCAUUACUCUUUGAUAUAAGAUAUUGUUGGGGAAGUUAUGGGCAUCAAAACCACCCACAACGAAGACAAUUCAGCGGAUUAUGGCAAAUACACAUUCUGAAUCAUUGCUCAAUUGAAAGAGUUUAUUUUACACUGUGGCUAACUGGCUAUUAUGUGUUCCUGUGACCAGCAGAAGACUUGAUAGUCAUGGGAUGGUUGAAGAAAACAGGGGCGAGGCAGCUCUACCAAGUGCUCGACCUGGUUCUGAACAUGGAAUCUCUGUAAAGAAGACAUGCAUUGAGUAAAUCUCAAGUAAGGGAGUCUAUGACCCUCAUGUCUACUCGAGUCUAUGACCCUCAUGUCGACUUCCGCAACUACUCUGGAGCUUUUUUAAAUUUUGCAUAUUAAUGAAAUAUGUCUACAACUUAUUCCCAACUCAUGUUAGGGUCUUGUCUUUUUCUUUUUCAAAUUUUUUUAUGUCUCAUCAAGUAAGCUCUGUUUUUACACGUAUAUAAAUAACAACUACCUUGCAAACUCAAUGGAGGCUCCAAAUUGAAGA